rnacentral:rRNA from 1 species
UACGUAGGGUGCAAGCGUUGUCCGGAAUUAUUGGGCGUAAAGAGCUCGUAGGCGGUCUGUCGCGUCGGAUGUGAAACCUCGGGGCUCAACCCCGAGCCUGCAUUCGAUACGGGCAGACUAGAGUUCGGUAGGGGAGACUGGAAUUCCUGGUGUAGCGGUGAAAUGCGCAGAUAUCAGGAGGAACACCGAUGGCGAAGGCAGGUCUCUGGGCUGACACUGACGCUCAUGCACGAAAGCGUGGGGAGCAAACAGG